GAUGAACGCUGGCGGCGUGCCUAAUACAUGCAAGUCGAGCGAACGGACGAGAAGCUUGCUUUUCUGAUGUUAGCGGCGGACGGGUGAGUAACACGUGGAUAACCUACCUAUAAGACUGGGAUCACUUCGGGAAACCGGAGCUAAUACCGGAUAAUAUUUUGAACCGCAUGGUUCAAAAGUGAAAGACGGUCUUGGUGUCAGUUAUAGAUGCAUCCGCGCUGCAUUAGCUAGUUGGUAAGGUUACGGCUUACCAAGGCAACGAUGCAUAGCCGACCUGACAGGGUGAUCGCCCACACUGGAACUGAGCCACGGUCCUGGCUCCUACGGGAGGCAGCAGUCGGGAAUCGUCCGCAGUGGGCGAAAGCCUGACGGAGCAACGCCGCGUGAGUGAUGAAGGUCUUCGGAUCGUAAAGCUCUGUUAUUAGUGAAGAACAUAUGUGUAAGUAACUGUGCACAUCUUGACGGUACCUAAUCAGAAAGCCCCGGCUAACUACGUG
rnacentral:rRNA from 1 species